CAGCAGCCGCGGUAAAACGUAGGUGGCAAGCGUUGUCCGGAAUUAUUGGGCGUAAAGGGCUCGCAGGCGGUUUCUUAAGUCUGAUGUGAAAGCCCCCGGCUCAACCGGGGAGGGUCAUUGGAAACUGGGAAACUUGAGUGCAGAAGAGGAGAGUGGAAUUCCACGUGUAGCGGUGAAAUGCGUAGAGAUGUGGAGGAACACCAGUGGCGAAGGCGACUCUCUGGUCUGUAACUGACGCUGGGGAGCGAAAGCUAGGGGAGCAAAUGGGAUUAGAUACCCCCGUAGUCCCUGUCUCUUAUAC
rnacentral:rRNA from 1 species